UACGGGGGGGGCAAGCGUUGUCCGGAUUUACUGGGCGUAAAGGAUGCGUAGGCGGACAUUUAAGUCAGAUGUGAAAUACCCGAGCUUAACUUGGGUGCUGCAUUUGAAACUGGGUGUCUAGAGUGCAGGAGAGGUAAGUGGAAUUCCUAGUGUAGCGGUGAAAUGCGUAGAGAUUAGGAAGAACACCAGUGGCGAAGGCGACUUACUGGACUGUAACUGACGCUGAGGCAUGAAAGCGUGGGGAGCAAACAGG
rnacentral:rRNA from 1 species